rnacentral:rRNA from 1 species
GUGAGGAAUUUUCCGCAAUGGGCGAAAGCCUGACGGAGCAAUGUCGCGUGAAGGAUGAAGGCCUAUGGGUUGUAAACUUCUUUUCUCAGAAAAGAAUUAUGACGGUAUCUGAGGAAUAAGCAUCGGCUAACUCUGUGCCAGCAGCCGCGGUAAGACAGAGGAUGCAAGCGUUAUCCGGAAUGAUUGGGCGUAAAGCGUCUGUAGGUUGUUUAAAAAGUAUUCUGUCAAAGAUUAGGGCUUAACCCUAGAUAGGCAGAAUAAACUUUUAAGCUAGAGUUUGGUAGAGGCAGAGGGAAUUCCCGGUGGAGCGGUGAAAUGCGUAGAUAUCGGGAGGAACACCAAAGGCGAAGGCACUCUGCUGGGCCAAUACUAACACUGAGAGACGAAAGCGAGGGGAGCAAAUGGGAUUAGAUACCCCAGUAGUCC